CCAGCAGCUGCGGUAAUUCCAGCUCCAAUAGCGUAUAUUAAAAUUGUUGCAGUUAAAAAGCUCGUAGUUGGAUUUCUGGUCUGAUGCGCGCGGCCGGCGGCGGGUAACACCGUCGUGUGUGUCGUUGUGCGUCUACCAUCCUUCCGGCACCCGGGCGGGUCAAACCGUCCGAGUCUGGAUCUUUUACUUUGAAAAAAUUAGAGUGUUCAAAGCAGGCGUAUGCUGUGAAUACAUUAGCAUGGAAUAAUAAACUAGGACUUUUGUUCUAUUUUGUUGGUUUCUAGGACAGAAGUAAUGAUUGAUAGGGACAGUUGGGGGUGCUAGUAUUCAGCGGCCAGAGGUGAAAUUCU
rnacentral:rRNA from 1 species